rnacentral:rRNA from 1 species
UGCCCCAGACAUAUCACCAUGCAGCCCAAGACUGGUUACUCACUGAAGCUAAGCAGGGCUGAGCCUGGUCAGUACUUGGACGGGAGUCCACAUGGGAAAAACUAGGUUGCUGUUGGAA